rnacentral:rRNA from 1 species
UACGAAGGGAGCUAGCGUUGUUCGGAAUCACUGGGCGUAAAGCGCACGUAGGCGGAUUUGCCAGUCAGGGGUGAAAUCCCGGGGCUCAACCUCGGAACUGCCUUUGAUACAGCAAGUCUUGAGUUCGAGAGAGGUGGGUGGAAUUCCUAGUGUAGAGGUGAAAUUCGUAGAUAUUAGGAAGAACACCGGUGGCGAAGGCGGCCACUGGCUCGACACUGACGCUGAGGUGCGAAAGCGUGGGGAGCAAACAGGG